AGAUCACAGAGAUGUGAUGGAAAAUAGUUGAUGAGUUGUUUAAUUUUAAAGUUUAAUCUUACUUACAUUAAGGAAGGAGUGAUUUCAAUGGCAGCAGAUAUCAUUUCAACAAUCGGUGACUUAGUAAAAUGGAUUAUCGACACAGUAAAUAAAUUCUCAAAAUAAGAAGAUUAAUGUUAAUUACUUAGAAAUUCCAUUUCGUAUAGUACAAUGAUGAUUUGUUAUGAAGACUUCCCAACUUGAUAACAAACACUAUACUAAUGAGUGAGUAGCAUUUGUUAGUAAGCGUCAACAUUAUUUGACCACGUACUAUGUAACAUACUACUUAACAGAUACGUUAAUUAGUCAUAGCAAAUAUGCUAUUGUAAACAAUAUCGAUUUAUCAUUAUUGAUAAAAUUUUUUUCAUAAUUAAUAACAUCCCCAAAAAAUAGAUUGAAAAAUAACUGUAAAACAUUCCCUUAAUAAUAAGAUUUAAGUCGCGAGCCCCUCCCAAGCUCGCGACUUU
rnacentral:ncRNA from 1 species